AGAGUUUGAUCWUGGCUCAGAACGAACGCUGGCGGCAGGCCUAACACAUGCAAGUCGAGCGAGGACUUCGGUCCUAGCGGCGGACGGGUGAGUAACGCGUGGGAAUAUGCCCUUCACUACGGAAUAGUCCCGGGAAACUGGGUUUAAUACCGUAUACGCCCUUUGGGGGAAAGAUUUAUCGGUGAAGGAUUAGCCCGCGUUGGAUUAGGUAGUUGGUGGGGUAAUGGCCUACCAAGCCGACGAUCCAUAGCUGGUUUGAGAGGAUGAUCAGCCACACUGGGACUGAGACACGGCCCAGACUCCUACGGGAGGCAGCAGUGGGGAAUCUUAGACAAUGGGGGCAACCCUGAUCUAGCCAUGCCGCGUGAGUGAAGAAGGCCCUAGGGUUGUAAAGCUCUUUCAGCUGGGAAGAUAAUGACGGUACCAGCAGAAGAAGCCCCGGCUAACUCCGUGCCAGCAGCCGCGGUAAUACGGAGGGGGCUAGCGUUGUUCGGAAUUACUGGGCGUAAAGCGCGCGUAGGCGGACUGGAAAGUUAGGGGUGAAAUCCCGGGGCUCAACCUCGGAACUGCCUCUAAAACUAUCAGUCUGGAGUUCGAGAGAGGUGAGUGGAAUUGCGAGUGUAGAGGUGAAAUUCGUAGAUAUUCGCAGGAACACCAGUGGCGAAGGCGGCUCACUGGCUCGAUACUGACGCUGAGGUGCGAAAGUGUGGGGAGCAAACAGGAUUAGAUACCCUGGUAGUCCACACCGUAAACGAUGAAUGCCAGUCGUCGGGCAGUAUACUGUUCGGUGACACACCUAACGGAUUAAGCAUUCCGCCUGGGGAGUACGGUCGCAAGAUUAAAACUCAAAGGAAUUGACGG
rnacentral:rRNA from 1 species